UAAUACGUAGGGCGCAAGCGUUGUCCGGAAUUAUUGGGCGUAAAGAGCUCGUAGGCGGCUUGUCACGUCGGGUGUGAAAGCCCGGGGCUUAACCCCGGGUCUGCAUUCGAUACGGGCUAGUUAGAGUGUGGUAGGGGAGAUCGGAAUUCCUGGUGUAGCGGUGAAAUGCGCAGAUAUCAGGAGGAACACCGGUGGCGAAGGCGGAUCUCUGGGCCAUUACUGACGCUGAGGAGCGAAAGCGUGGGGAGCGAACAGGAUUAGAUACCCUGGUAGUCCACGCCGUAAACGGUGGGAACUAGGUGUUGGCGACAUUCCACGUCGUCGGUGCCGCAGCUAACGCAUUAAGUUCCCCGCCUGGGGAGUACGGCCGCAAGGC
rnacentral:rRNA from 1 species